rfam:Felis catus isolate Cinnamon breed Abyssinian chromosome D4, whole genome shotgun sequence.
GCCUGGGUGGCUCAGUUGGUUGAGCGGCUGACUUCAGCUCAGGUCAUGAUCUCGUGGUCCGUGAGUUCGAGCCCCGCGUUGGGCU